rnacentral:lncRNA from 1 species
UCGGAAAGGGAAAGCUCCGGAGAAGUGAUUUUGGAGCGCGUGUGAUUGGCCUACAGGUAGGCUACGGUUUUCCCUCUCUUAGAUUGAGCUCGAGAAUGUGAAUGCAUGUUGAUUAGUUGGGAUUUGGGUUGGGUAGUUAUUGAAUCCUACUUAGGUGUUAAGAAAUCAUGUUUUCGGCCUAUUUCGGGAAUUAUCGGGUAACUGUGAGCAUGCUUUGUGUUAUUAACGGACCCUCCUCGCUAUGUGGAGUACUUGCAUGCUUAAUUACUGUUUAUUUGAAGCAUGUUGGACCUUAGUUUAGGUUUGACUAGGGCUUGCCUCAGAAAUACAUUAUUCGAAUCCAAUAGGCCUUAGUUUUGCCCCGACGUCGCUCGGCCGGCUUAGAUCCCUGUAGACUGGUGUAGCAGACUUGAGUCUGAUAUUUUGGGCCUUAGUUAGGUGGUACUCUUUCUCCGACUAUAGUUAUCCUUAUUUUCCC